GGGCUUCGCAGGCGGUUUUUUAAGUUCUGAGGUUGAAAGCCCCCGGCUUAACCGGGGAGGGUCAUUCGGAAACUUGGGAAACUUGAGUUGCAGAAGAGGAGAGUGGAAUUUCCACGUGUAGCGGUGAAAUGCGUAGAGAUGUGGAGGAACACCAGUGGCGAAGGCGACUCUCUGGUCUGUAACUGACGCUGAGGAGCGAAAGCGUGGGGAGCGAACAGGAUUAGAUACCCUGGUAGUCCACGCCGUAAACGAUGAGUGCUAAGUGUUAGGGGGUUUCCGCCCCUUAUUGCUGCAGCUAACGCAUUAAGCACUCCGCCUGGGGAGUACGGUCGCAAGACUGAAACUCAAAGGAAUUGACGGGGGCCCGCACAAGCGGUGGAGCAUGUGGUUUAAUUCGAAGCAACGCGAAGAACCUUACCAGGUCUUGACAUCCUCUGACAACCCUAAAGAUAGGGCUUUCCCUUCGGGGACAGAGUGACAGGUGGUGCAUGGUUGUCGUCAGCUCGUGUCGUGAGAUGUUGGGUUAAGUCCCGCAACGAGCGCAACCCUUGAUCUUAGUUGCCAGCAUUCAGUUGGGCACUCUAAGGUGACUGCCGGUGACAAACCGGAGGAAGGUGGGGAUGACGUCAAAUCAUCAUGCCCCUUAUGACCUGGGCUACACACGUGCUACAAUGGACAGAACAAAGGGCUGCAAGACCGC
rnacentral:rRNA from 1 species